GAUGAACGCUGGCGGCGUGCCUAAUACAUGCGAGUCGAGCGAACGGACGAGAAGCUUGCUGCUCUGAUGUUAGCGGCGGACGGGUGAGUAACACGUGGAUAACCUACCUAUAAGACUGGGAUAACUUCGGGAAACCGGAGCUAAUACCGGAUAAUAUUUUGAACCGCAUGGUUCAAAAGUGAAAGACGGUCUUGCUGUCACUUAUAGAUGGAUCCGCGCUGCAUUAGCUAGUUGGUAAGGUAACGGCUUACCAAGGCAACGAUGCAUAGCCGACCUGAGAGGGUGAUCGGCCACACUGGAACUUAGACACGGUCCAGACUCCUACGGGAGGCAGCAGUAGGGAAUCUUCCGCAAUGGGCGAAAGCCUGACGGAGCAACGCCGCGUGAGUGAUGAAGGUCUUCGGAUCGUAAAACUCUGUUAUUAGGGAAGAACAUAUGUGUAAAUAACUGUGCACAUCUUGACGGUACCUAAUCAGAAAGCCACGGCUAACUACGUG
rnacentral:rRNA from 1 species